GACGAACGCUGGCGGCGUGCUCAAUACAUGCAAGUAGAACGCUGAAGGAGAAGCUUGCUUCUCUGGAUGAGUUGCGAACGGGUGAGUAACGCGUAGGAACCUGCCUGGUAGCGCGGGAUAACUAUUGGAAACGAUAGCUAAUACCGCAUAAGAGUAGAUGUUGCAUGACAUUUGCUUAAAAGGUGCAAUUGCAUCACUACCAGAUGGACCUGCGUUGUAUUAGCUAGUUGGUGGGGUAACGGCUCACCAAGGCGACGAUACAUAGCCGACCUGAGAGAGGGAUCGGCCACAAGGGGACUGAGACACGGCCCUUACUCCUACGCGAGGCAGCGGUGGGGAAUAUUGGACAAUGGGGGAAACACUGAUCUAGCAAUGCCGCGCGAGAGAAGAAGGCCUUAGAGUUGUAAAGCUCUGUUGUAAGAGAAGAAAGAGUGUGAGAGUGGAAAAUUCUCACUGUGACGGGGUCUUACCAGAGGGGGACGGCUAUCUACGUGCCAGCGGACGCGGGGAAUACGCAGAGCGCCAAGCGUGAUCCGGAGUUAUUUUGGCGUGAAGAGAGAGCAGGCGGUUUUCUAAUCCUCAGGUGAAAAGCUUUGGCUUAACCUAGAAAUGCUUCGGAAAUUGGGUAACUUGUGUGCGGAAGGGGGGGAGUGGAAUUCCUGUGUAGCGGGGGAAAUGUGUAGAUAUAUGGGAGAAACACCGGGGGGGAAGGCGCGCUCUGGUCUCCACCUAUACGCUGAUACUGUAAAACUGGGUUCCGCACACUAUUGAGACCCUCUGAGAUCAAGGGGCAUCUCCGAUGGGGGGGGCGCACGGGCUCCCAUCGUUUUCUGGGGUCCGCCGGGGGUGGUUUAUAUAUACUAGAUGCUAAAA
rnacentral:rRNA from 1 species